rnacentral:rRNA from 1 species
UACGAAGGGGGCUAGCGUUGUUCGGAUUUACUGGGCGUAAAGGGCGCGUAGGCGGCCAGCACAAAGUCAGUUGUGAAAUCUCCGAGCUUAACUCGGAAAGGUCAACUGAUACUGUGCGGCUAGAGUGCAGAAGGGGCAACUGGAAUUCUUGGUGUAGCGGUGAAAUGCGUAGAUAUCAAGAGGAACACCUGCGGCGAAGGCGGGUUGCUGGGCUGACACUGACGCUGAGGCGCGAAAGCUAGGGGAGCGAACGGG